rnacentral:rRNA from 1 species
UACGUAGGGUCCGAGCGUUGUCCGGAAUUACUGGGCGUAAAGAGCUCGUAGGUGGUUUGUCGCGUUGUUCGUGAAAACUCACAGCUCAACUGUGGGCGUGCGGGCGAUACGGGCAGACUUGAGUACUGCAGGGGAGACUGGAAUUCCUGGUGUAGCGGUGGAACGCGCAGAUAUCAGGAGGAACACCGGUGGCGAAGGCGGGUCUCUGGGCAGUAACUGACGCUGAGGAGCGAAAGCGUGGGGAGCGAACAGG